rnacentral:lncRNA from 1 species
CCCCAGCUGCUCUCCAUCCUGCACAUCUGGUUCCGCUUCCUCCCUCCCGGGGAAGUGAAAGUGGAGGGGAAGGCGCAACCGGGAGCCAGCUAGCGGUGGCGGGCACCCCGCAUCCCACUGCCCCCGCGGGUGCCGGAGCAAGAGCACCCCGCCCUCCUGCUCGGGUCACGCGGCGGCCGGCGCUGCUGCCGUCACGUCCUCGGCCCCGGCGCGCCGGCUUUUCGGUGCCCUCCAGCUCCCUGCUCAGCCACCUCCCCCUCCGCGCGCCCUCUGCCCCAGCCCGACUUCCCGUUGCCCGGCAUGUGGGCGUUGGAGACCCGAGUGGCCCCUGUUCCCGUGGCUCCACUUAGGGAGAAAGGGUGACCCUCCGCAGGACUCCCCCGGUCGGGUCCGGGGAAUCCCUGCGCGUGCUCAGCGCUUGGGGGGGGCAUCCGCUCGCCGCUCCGACUGUCCCACCUAACUGCCUCUGCCUGUGCCUUGGGCAUGGGGCUCCCGCUCGCCUGCACUAGGUGAGGGGGGGGUGCCCCAGAGUUAAAUCUGGAGGCUGAUGCGGACUCCUGGCUUCACCUCCCAGACGUGGAGGCUAAAUUUAGCUGGAGUUGGGGCGUGUGUGUCCAGGAGCCAGCCUGGCCCCGGGAGACUCCUUUGCUCUCUCCAGUUAGUUCUCUGGGCCAAGAGUGGGAGAUAAAGUAGAACUGUUCAUCCCGGAGCCAUGGAAUCUCCUCGGCCUUGCUCAGGCCCCUUUGGUCUGAAGUUCGGACUUGGCUUGAUGCUGCGCUGGCACCUUCAGCAGAACCCCCCGCCCCACGGCGCCGCCACACACACCCAUAGGCUGACUUCUGCUGAGCUGCAGCUUCCCCUCCGCCGUUUCAGGAAGUAACCUCCCUUCCCCUCUGAAGCACUCCCCCACACCUCCCAGCCCCUGAUGCAAACCACCCACCAGGCUCUUCCCAGCGUCUGCACCCUGGGGCGUCUCAGGAACCUUGGGGCUCCUACUCCCUGGGGCGGGCCAUGGAGGCAGGUGAGGAAACAGUUACUGAAAGGCUGUUGUGGGCCUAAUUCUGUCUCGGCUCGGGCUCCGGGGCUCUGUGGCAGAGGGCGAGGGACUGCGGGAACCCGUCUCCCACAGUCACUUUAGACCUAACUGGAGACAUCUAAGGAUCCUGUGGGUGGGAGGGCACUGUGGCUGCGCCAGGCUGGUGGAGUUAAGGAAAGGCACUAAAGCUUGGGUUUUGUGAGGUUUCCCAGAAUCCUGUGGGAGUGGGCCCUUUUGGAGUGUCAACUGGGUCAGGAGGUCCUUAGGAUGUCAUAACUAGAGCAGAAAGCCAGAAACCCUUAAAAAAGACUAAGGUUGGUGUGACGUGGCCAGAAUCAAUGGUGUCAUUGCAGGUCAUUACAGGAAAUAGUGUGAUCUCUGGUGUUCUAACCAGGCAGGUAGUGGGGAGGGGUGGGGCCUUGGAAGGCAUACACGAGCAACAUGGUGUCAGAGCCCAGGCUAGCGGUCUGAGGUGGAGUUUGGUUCUUUGGGGAGAGAACUGCCAAGUGGGAGGAACCUGGUCUUUUUAAGGAGCUGUGGUGGGCUCUGAGCGCCUGGGGAUGUGAGAGGUGGGAAUGACUGACCUUAUCCCAUCUUCUUUUGGAAGGAUUAGGAACCGGAGGGGACUGAAGGGAGGGGGUAGCACUCUGUUGCCGUGGCAACACCGGUUUCCCUUGCUCCAUCUCUCCCCCACUUGCCCAUUCCAGAUGCAGUGAGUGAGGGGGGGGCCAUGGCUGAGGAGCGGCCCCCCCGGCUGGUGGAUUACUUCGUGGUUGCUGGGCUUGCGGGGAAUGGAGCACCUAUCCCUGAGGAAACAUGGGUUCCUGAGCCCAGUGGACCCCUGCGCCCUUCCCGGCCAGCUGAGCCCAUCACCGAUGUGGCAGUCAUUGCUAGGGCACUGGGCGAGGAGGUGCCCCAGGGCUAUACAUGCAUCCAGGCUUCUGCUGGGGGCCACCCCUUGGAAUUCAGUGCUGGGCUCCUGGGUGGAACUCAGCCUGUCAUCUGCUACCGCAGAGGCCGGGACAAACCCCCCCUUGUGGAGUUGGGGUAUGUGCCUCCUACGCAUGCUGGCCCCAGGGGAGCUGGGAGGGACUAUGAGUUAGAGCCAAGUCAAGGUAGGGGUGUGGGAUGAGGGGAGGGCCAGAGGCCAGGGAGGAGGGGCUGAAGUUGUCAGUGCUUGGUCUCAGGUUGUCUCAGGUUGGGUUUGCAUGCCCGUGCUGCUGCCACCUAGCCCUUUGGUCUUGGGCAGGUUAUAAAGCCCCACCAAUGAGGAUAAUAGUCCCUCGUAGGAUGCUUGAUAAGAUUGAGUGGAGUAAGACCCCUGAGGGAUUCAGCACGUCAGUGACUUCUUAGUGUCUGUUCAUGAGAGAGAGAGUCGCGGAAGGCAUGUGGGUUGUUACUGACUGACAAGUAGGGUCAAGGGCAAAGAGGGGCUAUGGGAUUCUGAGUUCAGCAAGCAGAGGUGGGCCCGGUAUUGGGUUUGACAAGGCUGAGUGUGCAGGGCAGUUUCCACUAGGUAGGCAGAUCUGACAGGAUUGGGGUCUUUCUCCUCGGUCCUGUCCUCUUGACAUUUCUCUGUUUUCUGUGCCCAGGGUGUUAUAUGAGGGCAAGGAACGUCCCAAGCCUGGCUUCCAAGUGCUUGAUACUACACCGUACAGCCACUCAGCCAACCUGGCCCCUCCAGGCCCCGGGCAUCCCCGCACCUACCUCACUUAUAGGCGGGCAGCAGAGGGGGCAGGACUGCAUGCCCUGGGCAUCACUGACCUCUGCCUGGUCCUGCCCAGCAAGGGUGAGGGCACGCCUCAUACUUACUGCCGGUUGCCCCGCAACCUCAACCCUGGCAUGGUGAGUGGGGCUGUGGAGCUGAGAGCUGAGACCUGGGCCCUUGGUGUGAGGGUGUGGAACUGGGCCCAAGGGUAUAAAGGGGCCAGGGGCAGGCCAGACGGGUGAUAGGGCUUGAGGGCUUGUGAUUAGAGGCAGCUCAGAAGAUCAUUUGGGGGUAGUAGAGAGAAAGUGGACCCCAGAAACCUUUGGUAGCUGUGUGUUUGCUUGUUUCUUGCCAUCGGGGGCAGUGGGGCCCAGCAGUGUACCUGUGCUUCAAGGUGGGCCUGGCCAAAGCCAACACACUGGUGUAUGAGGCAGGUGAGUGGCCCCUUUGUCCCUCCUAGCCUUUGACCCUUCGUGUCCCUCUGCCCUUGGUGCCUCUUGGCUGAUUCCUUCAAGUGUUCCCUAGAAUUCAUUUCCCUUUUGCUGCUUGGCCUUCUCUGGGAUCCCCUGGCUCCUCUCCCUGAAGUCUGAUGGACACCCCUCCUUUUGGGUACUCCUCACUCUGCUUGGGUGCAGAGCUGCUGGGCCGCUACCCAGAGGAGGACAAUGAGGCUUUCCCGCUGCCCGAGUCAGUGCCAGUCUUCUGCCUGCCCAUGGGGGCCACUAUCGAGUGCUGGCCCUCCCAGACCAAGUACCCCGUGCCCGUCUUCUCCACCUUUGUACUCACGGGUGCCGCUGGCGAUAAGGUAGGUGUGGGGCCUGUGGUAAGGGUCUGGGCCAUGCAGAGCCUGCCUGACCGUCCCUCUGUCCCCUGCCAGGUGUAUGGUGCCGCCCUGCAGUUCUAUGAGGCCUUUCCAAGGGCCAGGCUGUCAGAGCGGCAGGCGCGGGCACUGGGCCUGUUGAGUGCCGUGGAACGGGGCCGGGCGCUGGGCGGCCGUGCGGUGCGCAGCCGGCGGGCCAUCGCCGUGCUAUCCCACUGGCCUGCCUUUCCAGCCUUCAGAGCCUUCCUCACCUUCCUUUACCGCUACUCCGUCUCCGGCCCCCACCGCCUGCCCUUGGAAGCGUGAGCAUGGCUACCCUGCCACUGGGGAGGAGUGAGGAGGGUGCAGGGAGGCGGGAAAGAUUAGCAUGGAGAUGGGAGUGGGCUGGGCACGGGGAGGGGCCGGCCGGAGUGUGGGGUUGUACAGUGUGGCCAUUGGAAAAAACUGUCACCGGAGGAGGAGACGGACAGCCUGAAAUCCAGUCUGUCCUGCUGGUUGGGCCUGGCGAGGGCUGCGUGUGAUUUGCACAAGUCUGUUGAACAAGAGAGGCUGGGUGGCUGAUGCAGGCCUUGAAGUGGGGUUCAGGGAGGAAUAAGAUUCUUUUUUUUUUUUCCUAUGAAAUUAAAUUUUUUAAGUGAUUAUUUUUAGUUGUAUAUUUCACUUAUUCAUUUUUAGGUGGUGCUGAGGAUGGAACCCAGGGUCUCGCAUGUGGGAGGCCAGCCUCUGCCGCUGAGCCCCACCCGCCCUGUUCUUAGUUCUGGGUAGCAGUGGGGUAGGACUAGGGCUCUUAGGAGAGGAGAGGGAGAGGGACACGGGGUGGAGGAGGACGGGUGGACGGCGUGUGCCUCACCUGCUCCCUCUCUCCCCAGGCACAUCUCCCACUUCAUUCACAACGUGCCCUUCCCUUCCCCACAGAGACCCCGCAUCUUAGUGCAGGUAAGGGCCAGGGCUGGGCUGGACGGACGGAGAGGAGCAGGCCUGUCACCAACACUGACCUCUGGCUUUUCGGCCCCCUAGAUGUCUCCCUAUGACAACCUGCUCCUCUGUCAGCCUGUGUCCUCACCCUUGCCCCUCAGGUAUGUGCCCGGGUUUGGGGGAGGGGGUCUUUGAUGACUGAGGACAUGGUAGGUGCCGGGGGCAGUUGUUGAGGUCCUUGCAGGCUGGACCCCAGCGGUGUCCCUGCCUGGUUCCUGGGGAAGAGUCUCCAGGGCCUGCUGGUGACGCACCCCCACCCUCGCAUUGCCUGCAGCGGCGCCAGCUUCCUGCAGCUGCUGCAGAGCCUGGGCCCUGAGCUGGCUGUCACGCUGCUGAUGGCUGUGCUCACAGAGCACAAGUUGCUGGUCCACUCGCUGAGGCCAGACCUGCUCACGAGCGUCUGUGAGGCCCUCGUCUCAGUGAGUACCACCUGUCCGCCCACUCUUCUGGAUUUGUCCCCUUACUUUUCCUUCCUUGAGGAGGUUCUCAGUCCCUUUCCCUGGGUACAGACUUUCGGGACAAACAAGCACCAUUUCCCCAGGGCCAGUGCCCUCUCCGCUCCUGUGUCCCUCCCUGCUGCCCCGGCCCCUGUUCACUGCUCCUCUCUGGGCUUCAGAUGAUCUUCCCGCUGCACUGGCAGUGCCCCUACAUUCCGCUGUGCCCCCUGGUGCUGGCAGACGUGCUGAGCGCCCCCGUGCCCUUCAUCGUGGGCAUCCACUCCAGCUACUUUGAUCUGCAUGACCCUCCUGCCGACGUCAUCUGUGUCGAUCUCGAUACUAACACGCUCUUCCAGUAAGAGGCUGGGUCUCACGGGGACGGGAGGCUAGCUCGCAGGAGCCCACGUGUGAGCUGCUAUGGCUCCAGGCCUGAGGCGAAGGGGGGAGGAGCAUGUGAGGAGCCCUGUCGUUCUUUUUCUCCUGUUUAUCUCCUAGGACAGAGGAAAAGAAGCUCCUCUCCCCUCGGACCCUGCCCCGCAGACCCUACAAAGUUCUGCUGGCCACACUAACAACCCUGUACCAGCAACUGGACCAGAGUGAGAAGACUGGGUGGGGGUGGGAGGCUGGGACUGUCAUUGGGCUCCCGCCUCUAGUGUGGGGAAGGCUGGGGGGGCUAGACAUUCCUUGAGGAGGUUAGAGGAGUCAGGAUCUGGUGGUAGUCAGGGGGUUCUGCUUCCAACAGAAGCCAGAGGGAAGGAAGCUGGGUGCCACGGGGCAUGCCUGUAAUCCCAGUGAGUUGGGAGGCUGAGGCUCACAAGUUUAAGGCCAGCCUCAGCAAGUUAGUAAGAGAGACCCUCAGCACCUUAGUAGACCCUGUCUCUAAAUCAAAAAUAAAAUAGGACUGAGCUGCACCCUUAAGCUCAAUCUCCAGUACAGCAUUCCCGAACACAUCCCAGGGGGCUGGGGAUGGAACAGGUGUCAGUGUGAAGGAUGGGGUGGGCAAGCACUGUGGGUGCUGACUCCGACUCUGGGCAUCGCUUCCCAGCGUACACUGGACCUGAGGAGGAGGCAUCCCUGGAAUUCCUGUUGACGGACUAUGAGGCUGUCUGCGGCCGCCGCGCCCGCUUGGAGCGGGAAGUCCAGGGAGCCUUCCUGCGCUUCAUGACCUGCCUGCUCAAGGGCUACCGGGACUUCCUGCGCCCCCUCACCCAGGCCCCUUCUGAGGGGGCUCGUGACGUUGACAACCUUUUCUACCUUCAGGGUAACGUGAGCCUGUCUCUGCUUAGAAAGGGUAUCAUGGGAGGGGUGGCCUGGGGACUGCCAGGUUUCUCAUUCCCUCACUCAGUGUUUUGGUGGCACCUGCUUGAGCCAUCCACUCUUAAGGUCUUGGAGGAAGUAAGGGUACAAAGAUGAGGCAGAUGGGGCCCCGCUCUCUGGGAGCCCUGGGCAUAGAGUGGACACAAUGACCUUUGUGAGCAGCCCCCAUGGGCAAAGCUCUGUUGAGGGACCUGUCCUUGGAGAGCCCUCAGCGUAUGACGGUGGGUGCAGGUAAACAAAAGGAAGGACUCUGGGGGCCCUGGUGCUAGAGGGAGCUGAGCUGGUCCCUCUGUGUGUCAGGGGUAUGUGUCAGUGGGCCGAGAGUUGACGACCUCCGUGAGCAUGGCUCCUGAGAAAGCAGAGGGCCAAGAAUAGGGCAGGGCAGGAUGGCUGCAGGAGAGAGCCCUGGUCAUCUCCCUUCCCUGCCUCACUCUUGUCCCCAUCAGGUUUCCUCAAGUCCCGAGAACGCUCCAGCCACAAGCUGUACUCUCAGCUGCUGCACACGCAGAUGUUCUCACAGUUCAUCGAAGAAUGUUCUUUUGGCUCUGCUCGGCAUGCUGCCCUUGAAUUCUUUGACUCUUGUGUUGAUAAGGUAUCAAGUAUGUCCCUUCUCUAUGUGCCCAGUGGUCUCUGCUCUCCUUCUGCUUCUCUCUUGCCCACAGGCUACUGUAAACCCAAAUAUGUCUCAGCUGUGACAGGGAGGGCACCCCUGGAGUCACGAGCACACAGCGUGUGCCACUGGCUUCCUCUGCGAAGUAUCGUCCCAUUCUCAACUCUGUCCCCCAGCCGGGUCUUCAGGACUCCUUCCCUGCGGACGUGCUUUCCUGGAAGAUGCCAUAUUCCGGACGUCUGGCAUGCUCCAUGCCCACUGUCUUUUUAUUUUAUUUUUUGCGGUACUGAGGAUCGCACCUACGAGUGCUCUGCCACGGAGCUGCCUCCCCGAUUCUUUUUAUUUUUCAUUUUGAGGCAGGGUCUUACUAAGUUGCCAAGGCUGGCCUCAACUUUCAGUCCUGCCUUGGCUCCCAAGUCACUGGGGUACAAGUUGCGUAGCACCCUGCACCUGCCAUGCCUGUCGUCUGACGCUGCGUGCUCCCCUUGCUGUUCAGGUCCACCCGGAGCAGGAGAAGCCCGAGACAGCGCCCUUAGUGGAGCUGGAAGAACUCUCGGGAAGCGAGCUCACUGUCUUUAUCACCCCCCCUGAGGAGCCCCCCGCACCAGAGGGCAGUGAAUCCACUCCCCAGUACUGGUGAGAGAUUUUGUCCCCUCCUGUGUCCCAAGUGGACCCUUGGAUGGUCCACUUCAGGUGCCUGGCCCUGUAUUGAUAUCGGCUCUCUCUGCCCCUCAGCUAUGAUGGGUUCCCAGAAUUACGGGCUGAGCUAUUUGAGUCUCCUCAAGAGCAACCAGGGGCCCUGCCUGUGCCAGGCCCAUCCCGUAGCGCCCCCAGCAGUCCUGCCCCUCGCCGUACCAAACAGGUAAGCAGCUCUUGGACCCCACGGGGAACCUGGCUCAGGCCGAGGGCGGCUGCUUCGUUUCUCCGUCUGUGAAAUGAGAUGAGGCGGCGGCCUUCCCGUAGACCGUAGGGAAUUCACUGUGCCUGCCGUUGUCAUCACCAGCACCCUCCCAUCGUCACUUCUGGGAAUCCAGAGGCUGGUGGCUCUGUCCAGGGCCCCUGCCGGUGCUCAGGAGCCACAGCCUGUCGGUACAGCCACCUCCUCAGGCACAGAGCGUCCUUCAGGGGAGCGCUGCUUCUCCGACCUCCCUGGCAUCGUGUUCACCCUGUUGUGUCCUCUGCCCCACCUAGGAGAUGAAGGUGGCGCAGCGGAUGGCACAGAAGUCAGCGACGGUGCCCGAGCUGUGGGCCCGGUGCCUGCUGGGCCAUUGCUACGGGCUGUGGUUCCUGUGUCUUCCGGCCUAUGUGCGGUCAGCACCCUCCCGGGUGCGGGCGCUGCACACAGCCUACCAUGUGCUGCGUGAGAUGGAGAGCCGCAAGGUGGUGCUCCCCGAUGAGGUGGGCGCCAUUUACCAUGCGGCCACCUGCAGCCAUGGGGGCUGCGAGAGGGAAGCUUGUGGGAGUUGAAGAAAGCAGAUGGGGAGCCCCAGGGCUGGGCAGAUGCUCCUCAGCAUUCACUGUGAGCGCGGUCACAUCAGCACUCACUAAGGGGACUGCAGGGUAGCAGGGUCAGCAGAGCCGCAGGGGCCAGUGAGGAGUGCAGGAACUGAGAAGGCUGGAGGGCGGGCUGGAGGGAGGCUGCUGCCAUUCCGUGCCUCUCGGCCUAGGUGUGUUACCGGGUGCUGAUGCAGCUCUGCUCCUACUACGGGCAGCCCGUCUUGUCUGUGCGGGUCAUGCUGGAGAUGCGACGGGCAGGCAUCGUGCCCAACACCAUCACCUAUGGUUACUACAAUAAGGUACCUAGUUUGGGGUAGGACGGCUGGCAGGCUGGACCAGGUGUGCGUGGGGAGGACGUCGUUCCCUGACCCCUGCUUCCCCGUCUUGGAGACUGGGCUUGUGCAGCUCCACUGGGUCCUGGGACCAUUGUCCUCCAUCGCCGCCUCUUGUAGCCUAGGCACCAGCAAAUGGCUUUUUGGUUUUUUGUUUUCAUCUUAGCUUCUUUUAUUCCCCAUCGCAACAGCCUGACUGUAGCUCAUAGUACCGGCCGUGUGUCCGGCACUCUUCUGAAUACAUCAUACAUUUUUAAAAACUUCACAUUAUACGUUUUAAAUAACUUUAUAUUCACCAUCCCCCUGGGGUAGGAGGAUCACCCCCGUCUCAUAGAUGAGGAGAUGAGUUACAGAAAAUUCAUAACUUGCCCAAAGUACCAUAGUGGACGAGUUGGGGAGUUAGAAUAUGAGCAAAGGCAUAUUCCUGUUUCCCAGAUUCAGCCCCUUCACCAUGAUACUGAACAUCUCCUGCUUUUCAGAUGAGGAAACUUAAUGACCGAAAUCUGAAAUGAUUUCUUCAAAGCCACACAGUUUAUAAGUAGUAGAGUCUGAUUAAGAACUUCCUCCAUUACUCUGGGCUUCUCGCAGGUCCUCUCAGGAUAGUUGCUCACAAUUACCCUUGUUCCUGGCUGAGCCAUUGGUCAGGCAGUCCUAGGCAGGAUGUGUGGAGGGAAGGUGGUCCCUGGGGCUCGAGGACAGGAGGUGGGCAUCAGGCUGGGGUCAGGGUGCUGGAAGGAGGCCAUCCUGAUGGGCGCUGUACUUGGCAGGCUGUGCUGGAAAGCAAGUGGCCAUCUGGUACACCAGGUGGACGCUUGCGUUGGGCCAAGCUCCGGAAUGUUGUCCUGGGGGCUGCUCAGUUCCGUCAGCCUCUGAGAGACCGGCAGCGGCGGCAGCAGCAGCAGCAGCAGCAGCAGGUGUCAGCACACCAAGAGGCUGGCAGUUCCCAGACAGGUGGGCAGGGACUGGUGAGCAGGCUUAGGGAGGGGCAGCAGGCUCUUGGAGAGCCAGAGCUGGCUUCGCGGUCGGCAUGGGCUUUCAGAGAAUGGCUAAGCUACACUCAACUGGUAACAAAAGAGAGAAAGUUCUGCCUGUGGGGAACCCUGCCAAGCCAGGUCCCUCCGCGGAGGUCUGUUGGGGUUUCUAGCUCGCGGCCUCUAAAUCCCUUCUCUGUCCUCCAGAGUCCUAUCUGGAACGCCCUUCCCCGACCCGUCCCCUUCAGCGCCAGACGACUUGGGCUGGGCGAAGUCUGAGGGACCCGGCCUCACCCACUGGGCGCCUAGUGAAGAGUGGCAGUUUGGGCAGUGCCCGAGGAGCCCAGCCCACUGUAGAGGCCGGUGUGGCCCACAGUAAGUGCCCUGGUCUGGUCCUCCUCUUCUCUUCCCCACAGUCAGUUUUCCUAACCACUUGCAAGAAAGGAGAAGAACCAGGGCCAGAAUUCUGGAAAAGUGGGCCUGUGUGGUGGGUAACUGUGUACUCUGAGGAGUCAAAAUGUCGUGGUGGGGUCAAGUGUCAGAGUUUACACAGCCGGAAUCGUGUUACUCAAGAAGCAGGCAGCUGGAGGAGAGGCUGGCCUCCGCCUUCCCUGAUUCUUUUUUUGUCCUGCAGUGAUAGAGGCUUUAGGGGUCCUGGAGCCCCGGGGAUCACCUGUGCCCUGGCAUGAUGGAAGUCUCUCAGACCUGAGCCUGACAGGGGAGGAGCUGGCACCUGGAGGCAGUCCAGGCGGCUCAGGCUUGGCCCUGAGUGCCCAGUCCACUGAGGCCCUGGAAGGGCUGAGUGUGCGAGGGCCCAAGGCUAGUGGGCGUCAGGAUGAGGCAGCCACCCCCCGACGAGGGCUGGGUGCCCGCCUCCAGCAGCUGCUCACUCCUUCCCGCCGCUCCCCUGCUGCCCGCAUUUCCCCAUCAGAGAUGCCCCCUGACCUGCCUCCCCCUGCCCGUCGCAGCCCAAUGGAGAGUCUUCUGAGGCCCCGGGAGCGACCUGGAUCCACUGCAUCGGAGGUAGCCAGCCCCGAAGCUUCAGGAGGCCCCAGGAGGGGCCUGCAGGGUCGUUAGAGCUGGCAUCCCUGCUGGAGAGGAGCGCGGAGCCAGCUGACAGGGUUUCCUUGUGUGAUGGCAGAGCUCAGCCUCUCUGGGCAGUGAGUGGGACCUCUCAGAGUCUUCUCUCAGUAGCCUGAGCCUCCGCCGUUCCUCAGAGCGCCUCAGUGACACCCCUGGAUCCCUCCAGCCACCUUCCCUGGAAGUGAGGAUAACCGCCCCCCUGCAGUCUUCCCGGGAAAGGCAGGGUGGGGAGGAGGUCAAGGAGGGCUGGCUGGGAUUUGGAGGUGGAAGGGCCAGGAGAGGGGCACUGAAGGCUGAGCCAGGCCUACUUCCUGGGGUCUCCUUGUCCACAGAUUCUGCUCUCCAGCUGCUCCCUGUGCCGUGCCUGUGACUCACUGGUGUACGAUGAGGAAAUCAUGGCUGGUUGGGCACCUGACGACUCUAACCUCAACACAACCUGCCCCUUCUGCGCCUGCCCUUUUGUGCCCUUGCUCAGUGUUCAGACCCUUGAUUCCCGACCCAGGUGCCCAAAUCAGGGCAAGUGCCGUGGGUGGGACAGGAAGGCAGUGGUCCAAGAGCUGACCCCUUCUGCUGUCCCCUUGCAGUGCCCCCAGCCCCAACCCUGCCCCUGCUGGUGCCAGCAGCAGCAAAGACGCCCCUGUUCCUGGGGGUCCUGGCCCUGUGCUNGGAAAGAUACAGAGCUACUGAGCCUUUGCCCAGAUGAGAGGGGGGAUCUCAUCCCACCAGUGGUGGUCCCCCUUCCCUGGCGUUGCUGAAGGAGCCCAAGGCUCUCCAUGCCUUUCUACCUUAGUGUUUGUAUUUUAUUUUAAGUUAUUUAUUCUGGAGCCACAGCCCCCUUGCUAAUGAGGCUCUAAUGGAGAGUGAGAAAGAGAAGGGAAAUGGGGCACCGAGGUCUGUAGCUCCCUGAAAGCCAGGCAGUGGGAGCCAGGGGAGCCCCAGGACCCCCUGAGGAAGAACUGGUGCCUCCUGCAGUCCUGAUCUUUCCUGUCCACUCCAUCUUGGGAAGCGCCCCACCCACCCAGGGCCCUGACCUGUGCAAUAAGAAUUGUCCCCUGCAAAGUUUUGUUGUAUGUAAAUAUAGUAAAAGCUGCUUCUGUCUUUUUCCUUCUGUCUCCCUUUUCCUGGGUCUGGAUGAUAGUGGGGGAUGCUUAUGCUGCGCCUUUCUCUUUUCCACCUCUGUCCUUUGCAACCUUCAGGUAUACCCUGCUUCUCCUGGCCCCUUGGUCUGGUACUGGCCCCUUGGGGCACAGGGAGUUCUUAGAGCAGGAUGGGGGGGAAUCUGGUGCUGCUAUGGCAGUGCCAGUCUGUGUGGCACUUCCAGCCCUCCCACACAAUCACCCCCUUGUCCCUCAUCUGUACCCCACACAAAGGCUCCAUUCUCUGGGGGCCUUGAGCUCAUCUUUGCCUUAUUUCCUCUCCCCUAACUUGCCCCCCGACUUCUCCAGUACCUCCACAGAGAUGACAACCCUUUCCCCAGUAGUUGGUGUUGGCGGCCCUCACGUGUCCUGGGGGACUUGGCAUUCAGUCAUUCUCGUCCUCCCUAGUUGCUCUAUUUGCAGGCAGUAUUCUUCUGCUCAGGGUCUCAGCCUGGGGACAGCACUGGAAAGAAAGGGGCUUCUUGUGCUGUGAACAUCAGGGAGAUGGGCAUCAUUUUCUAAUCCCUUGGCCCACUCAACGCUCUCCUUUUUUUCCCUAUAUAAGAAAUAAACAGGAAACAAUUCCUAACAGAGCUGCAAAACCAUUUACCAAAGGGAGUCAGCUAACAAAACAAAUGCCUUGGGAAGGAGGGCUGCAGUAUCAAUGGGGGAAGUGACUUACAUUAAUGUUUAGUGUAAAUCCCUGGGCGAUGGAGAUCAGUGGGUGAAAAGAGAAGUACUACUUCUGAAUGCCGGGACCUUCAUGCAGAGGACCCUUCCCCAUCCUGCCUUGAUGCUUUUCCAGUCCUUAAAAGAGCUGCAAAGGAGGAAACCAAAGGGCUUAGGAAAUGCCACCAUCUGUCUUGCUAGAUGAUGAUCUCUUCAGAGGUCACCCUAGUUUCUGAUUAGACCCCACUCAUCAGAAUCGACUCCCUAUUUUGUCCCUAAGGCCUAAGGACCUUUAGUAAGGGUGGACUUGCCUGUGUGUGUGUGUGUGUGUGUGUAGUGGUGGUGAUGCCGGGGAUCAAAUUCAGGCCUCAUUCAUGCUAGGCAAGUGCCCUACCAGUGAGCUAUGCCCCUAGCUUACAGACCUGCCCUCUUACAAUUAAUUUGGGUAUAGUAUACUCAGUACUGCACUUAACUAUAGUGAGAAAAUUUUAGGGCCCAGUCCCUGCCCAAGUAGAGCAUACUAUCUUACUAGUCUAGCAUGCCCUUUGGUUCCACAGUAAGAACUCUGCCUUCCAGCUUAUGCCUCUCAUUUUUGAGAAGUUAGAUAAGAGAACUACAGAAUUUCAUAACUACAGAUUAUCGGGAAUUCCAAUAGCAACUUAUGAUACCAUAAUAUCUGAUAUCUGUCCUGUGGCCUAGGGAGCUUUCUGAGGGAAAGGAUAUGUCUAAAUUGCCUGGGUCAGUUUCUUUUUCCAGACUUCAGAGUAUAAAUCUUGUCUCUGUCACUUACUAAUCUUAUGAUGUCAGACAAGUAACUUAACUGCUAUGCCUUAUUUUUUUCUCAUCUGAAUGUGGGGAGGGGGGUCAUUUAAAGACUAAUUAUAUUAUCCAUAUGAAAUGUUAAGCACAUUCAAUAAAUGUUAGCUUCAAAAAGGCAAGUA